rnacentral:rRNA from 1 species
CCGCGUGAAGGAAGAAGGCCUUCGGGUUGUAAACUUCUUUUAUGAGUGAAGAAUAUGACGGUAACUCAUGAAUAAGCACCGGCUAACUACGUGCCAGCAGCCGCGGUCAUACGUAGGGUGCAAGCAUUAUCCGGAGUGACUGGGCGUAAAGAGUUGCGUAGGCGGUUUAAUAAGUGAAUAGUGAAACCUGGUGGCUCAACCAUACAGACUAUUAUUCAAACUGUUAAACUCGAGAAUGGUAGAGGUAACUGGAAUUUCUAGUGUAGGAGUGAAAUCCGUAGAUAUUAGAAGGAACACCGAUGGCGUAGGCAGGUUACUGGGCCAUUUCUGACGCUAAGGCACGAAAGCGUGGGGAGCGAACCGGAUUAGAUACCCGGGUAGUCCACGCCGUAAACGAUGGAUACUAGCUGUUGGAGGUAUCGACCCCUUCAGUAGCGAAGCUAACGCGUUAAGUAUCCCGCCUGUGGAGUACGGCCGCAAGGCUAAAACAUAAAGGAAUUGACGGGGACCCGCACAAGCGGUGGAUUAUGUUCUUUAAUUCGAUGAUAACCGAAGAACCUUACCAGGGCUUGACAUCCAGGGAAGGUCUGCGAAAGUAGACUGUGCCUUUUGGAACCCUGUGACAGGUGAUGCAUGGCCGUCGUCAGCUCGUGUCGUGAGAUGUUAGGUUAAGUCCUGCAACGAGCGCAACCCCUGUGAUUAGUUGCCAACAGGUAAAGCUGGGAACUCUAAUCAGACUGCCGGUGAUAAAUCGGAGGAAGGUGGGGAUGACGUCAAAUCAUCAUGCCCUUUAUGUCCUGGGCUACACACGUACUACAAUGGCUGUAACAGAGAGAAGCAAAACAGUGAUGUUGAGCAAAACUUUAAAAAGCAGUCUCAGUUCGGAUUGAAGGCUGAAAUUCGCCUUCAUGAA